UACGGAGGGUGCAAGCGUUAUCCGGAUUCACUGGGUUUAAAGGGUGCGUAGGUGGGUUGAUAAGUCAGUGGUGAAAUCCCCCGAGCUUAACUUGGGAACUGCCAUUGAUACUAUUGAUCUUGAAUACCGUGGAGGUCAGCGGAAUAUGUCAUGUAGCGGUGAAAAUGCUUAGAUAUGACAUAGAACACCAAUUGCGAAGGCAGCUGGCUACGCGAAUAUUGACACUGAUGCACGAAAGCGUGGGGGAUCAAAACAGG
rnacentral:rRNA from 1 species